CUCUUCACUGGGAACCUGCCUUGAACUUUUCCUUCAAACACACUUCUGUCAAGAAGGUUGACACGUUUUUUAUUAUGGAGAAUCGAGUACAUCUUCCUGAUGAUGUGACCAUCAGUAACCUCAGCUGUGUGGCGUCAUACCCCUCUGUGUCCGGCUCUCUGCAACAGAAGAGCACACUGCAUAUUACAACACAAGGAAUAAGAUUUUGUCUCAGAAUGAAGGAAGAAACACCAACCAAGAGAUGAAGAAAUACGGAGGAUAAACAGGAAGUGGGUGGCAAAAAACAGGCACGAUAAGAAAGUGAAUUGGAGGAAGGGGUUUAUCUGAGAACCGCUGACAUUGCAUUUGAGCAUCUGAAAAAGUACAGCAAAAGCAGCAAAGAGGGCAUUAAAAAAUGUAAUUUAUGGUCUUAGUUUUAUGUUUAUUUUUGUCUUGAAUGAAGAUGCAAUUAAAUUU